AUUGAACGCUGGCGGCAGGCCUAACACAUGCAAGUCGAGCGGAUGAAGAGAGCUUGCUCUCUGAUUCAGCGGCGGACGGGUGAGUAAUGCCUAGGAAUCUGCCUGGUAGUGGGGGACAACAGUUGGAAACGACUGCUAAUACCGCAUACGUCCUACGGGAGAAAGCAGGGGACCUUCGGGCCUUGCGCUAUCAGAUGAGCCUAGGUCGGAUUAGCUUGUUGGUGAGGUAAUGGCUCACCAAGGCGACGAUCCGUAACUGGUCUGAGAGGAUGAUCAGUCACACUGGAACUGAGACACGGUCCAGACUCCUACGGGAGGCAGCAGUGGGGAAUAUUGGACAAUGGGCGAAAGCCCGAUCCAGCCAUGCCGCGUGUGUGAAGAAGGUCUUCGGAUUGUAAAGCACUUUAAGUUGGGAGGAAGGGCAGUAAGUUAAUACCUUGCUGUUUUGACGUUACCGACAGAAUAAGCACCGGCUAACUUCGUGCCAG
rnacentral:rRNA from 1 species